CUCUCUUUGCUCUCAUUUUUCACUCCCCACUCCUUCCUCCACUCCCUCACACUCCUCUCAUACCUCUUACCCACGAGCUGCUGCUCCUCCCAAGCUCCAUGGCCGGCCAUGGCCAUGGAAAUCCACCUAGAUGAAGCUCCCCUCCUCCCUCAAGCUUCCCCUCACCAUGAGAGCCUCCCUCUCCUUCUUCUCCCCAACCCUAGAUGGUUUUCUCUCCUCUUCUUCUUCCUCCCUUGCUAAGAUUGGAUCUUGAUGCAGGUGCAUGUUGGUCCAAGCAUGGAGAAGCUUGAGCUAUCCUCAGAUCUGAAGUUCUUGAGCAAAAUCCAAAUCGAGUGAUUCAAAGUUCCGCAGAUAGGUAUUGAAAAGAUCUACAACUUGGCGUUGGUCUCAUACUCAAAUUCGUUACGGAUUUUGCAAGAUCAAGAUCUGGUCAGAUCUGACUUUGUCGAAUUAAACCAGGAGCUUGGAAACGAAUUUUUGAAUGAAACCAAUUGGGAUUACUGAAUGUUUUCUUAAUCAUCUCCAACAAGUUUCAAACAUUUAUCUGUUGUGUAACUCCAGUGAGAAAGCAAAUGGUACAGACAUGCAGUAAACUUGUCAAUCCAUUUGUGAGAGUUUCAGAAACAAUUUGAACCCAAAUCCAAUUGGGAUGUUAUCUACCAGGGGAUAUUUGGUUUAUACCAUGGUGAUACCCGAGAAAGGCAAUUGCUAAGUUGUGAUACUCUCAUACCUUUACUAGAUGCGAACGAUUCCGGAGAAGAAGAAGAAGUGGUUCGGACAAGGAUUUUAUUUAUAUUGACGGGAUUCUUAUAUUGAUGAAGUUGAAGAAGUCCAGGGACAAAUAAGCCAAG